rnacentral:rRNA from 1 species
UACGUAGGGUGCAAGCGUUAUCCGGAAUUAUUGGGCGUAAAGAGCUCGUAGGCGGUUUGUCGCGUCUGCCGUGAAAGUCCGGGGGCUCAACUCCGGAUCUGCGGUGGGUACGGGCAGACUAGAGUGAUGUAGGGGGAGACUGGAAUUCCUGGUGUAGCGGGUGAAAUGCGCAGAUAUCAGGAGGAACACCGAUGGCGAAGGCAGGUCUCUGG